rnacentral:rRNA from 1 species
GUGUCAGCAGCCGCGGUAAUACGUAGGUGGCAAGCGUUGUCCGGAAUUACUGGGCGUAAAGGGCGUGUAGGCGGGGAAACAAGUCAGAUGUGAAAUCCCAUGGCUUAACUGUGGAGCUGCAUCUGAAACUGUUUCUCUUGAGUACUGGAGAGGAAAGUGGAAUUCCCAGUGUAGCGGUGAAAUGCGUAGAGAUUGGGAGGAACACCAGUGGCGAAGGCGGCUUUCUGGACAGUAACUGACGCUGAGGCGCGAAAGCGUGGGGAGCAAACAGGAUUAGAUACCCUGGUAGUCCACGCUGUAAACGAUGGAUACUAGGUGUAGGAGGUAUCGACCCCUUCUGUGCCGGAGUUAACACAAUAAGUAUCCCGCCUGGGGAGUACGGCCGCAAGGUUGAA